rnacentral:rRNA from 1 species
AUUGAACGCUGGCGGAAUGCUUUACACAUGCAAGUCGAACGGUAGAGGGGGCAACCCCUUGAGAGUGGCGAACGGGUGAGUAAUAUAUCGGAACGUGCCCAGUCGUGGGGAUAACGUAGCGAAAGUUACGCUAAUACCGCAUACGAUCUAUGGAUGAAAGCGGGGGAUCGCAAGACCUCGCGCGAUUGGAGCGGCCGAUAUCAGAUUAGGUAGUUGGUGAGGUAAAGGCUCACCAAGCCGACGAUCUGUAGCUGGUCUGAGAGGACGACCAGCCACACUGGGACUGAGACACGGCCCAGACUCCUACGGGAGGCAGCAGUGGGGAAUUUUGGACAAUGGGCGCAAGCCUGAUCCAGCAAUGCCGCGUGCAGGAUGAAGGCCUCGG